ensembl:lncRNA
GCGUUGUGGAACAGGACCAGAAAGACCACGAGCAAGCAGCCUUAGGCAGCGUCUCCCUCGGGUCCCUCUCUAUCUCCCGACACAUCCACCAACCACUGGAACACAUCUCCAAAGUUCUGCCGGGCCAGCUCAGCUUCCCCUCAGAAGAAGUUCCGCCAGAUGAAGGAGCCUUUUGAGAGGCAGCUGGCAUCGUGAUUGGACUGUACUUUGGUCUGUUCCAAUCCAGCUUCAGCUCCAGAGACAGCAGGCGGGACGAGUCAACGGAGGCCGGGUGGACGAAGGCAUGCAGCUGAGUACAAUCCAGAAAACAACAGAGGAGGA